UGCAAACGUAUCAACGCGCAAUUUCUUGUACGAGAUAUUGAGUAAAAGACUAUGUGCAUUCGCUGCAAAAAUUCAUUCAGUGAAAAAUGAUUGUUCGGAAGACGUUAAUUUGAAACAAAGUGGAAUUGUUGUGUAAUUUCACCGAAGUUCUCAUGUUAUAUCAAUAUGAAUUUAGAGGAAUCCGCGAGACGAGUGCAUAACAUCGGCAGCAGUCAUUCUGCCUCACAUCAGUUUACAAACCAUAACUCGAGACAGUUCGGAGAUAAUGCUUGUCCAUCUGGACAUAGAAGUGAGCCUUACGAAAUUGAAACAGAAAUUGAGGAGCUAUUCAAGAAAGAUGAAGACGUUUGCAUUGUAUGUGGAUAUGUCUCAGCCAACGAAUUUUUCAGUUUUCCAAGUGAUGUUGACACUCGACAGCAGUGGGCUACCUUCUGCGACUUAGCUUUUGAUAAGAUAAAACCGCAUUUUCGCCUUUGUGACAGACACUUUAAACCUGACGAUUAUCGAAUCUCAAUUCAACGUAAAUUAUUGAUACAGACAAUCAGUGUUCCAACAUUGCAACCAAAAGUGAAACAUGGCUUCGGACCUUCAACUAACAACAGUUUACAAUCUAGUCUAAAUUCCAUCAACAUUUCCAACCCAACGUUGAAUGAAAAUACAUCGAAAAAUGCGAUAUACAGCCCUGUCGUCCA